GGGGGCCCGCACAAGCGGUGGAGCAUGUGGUUUAAUUCGAUGCAACGCGAAGAACCUUACCUACUCUUGACAUCCAGAGACCUUUCCAGAGGUGGAUUGGUGCCCUCGGGAACUCUGAGACAGGUGCUGCAUGGCUGUCGUCAGCUCGUGUUGUGAAAUGUUGGGUUAAGUCCCGCAACGAGCGCAACCCUUAUCCUUUGUUGCCAGCGGUUCGGCCGGGAACUCAAAGGAGACUGCCAGUGAUAAACUGGAGGAAGGUGGGGAUGACGUCAAGUCAUCAUGGCCCUUACGAGUAGGGCUACACACGUGCUACAAUGGCAUAUACAAAGAGAAGCGACCUCGCGAGAGCAAGCGGACCUCAUAAAGUAUGUCGUAGUCCGGAUUGGAGUCUGCAACUCGACUCCAUGAAGUCGGAAUCGCUAGUAAUCGUAGAUCAGAAUGCUACGGUGAAUACGUUCCCGGGCCUUGUACACACCGCCCGUCACACCAUGGGAGUGGGUUGCAAAAGAAGUAGGUAGCUUAACCUUCGGGAGGGCGCUUACCACUUUGUGAUUCAUGACUGGGGUGAAGUCGUAACAAGGUAACCAAGGGCGAAUUCUG
rnacentral:rRNA from 1 species